rnacentral:ncRNA from 1 species
CUGACAUGUGUGAGAGUCACCGGGCGAGUAAACCCGUAAGGAGUAAGGAAGCUGAUUUGUUGGUUUCCCCCGAGGGGUGCACCACCGACCGACCUUGAUCUUCUGAGAAGGGUUUGAGUGUGAGCAUACCUUUCGGGACCCGAAAGAUGGUGAACUAUGACUGAGUGGGGCGAAGCAAGAGGAAACUCUGGUGGAGGCCUGCAGUAGUACAGACGUGCAAAUCAUUUGUCUGACUUGGGUAUAGGGGUGAAAGACUAAUCGAACCGUCUAGUAGUUGG